rnacentral:pre_miRNA from 1 species
UUAGCUCAUAUUUGUAUGGAAUAGGAUCGUUUGCCUGCGUUUGCCACUAGGGGCGCUGUUCCAACUGCAUACAAAAUUGGGCUA